rnacentral:rRNA from 1 species
GACGAACGCUGGCGGCGUGCCUAAUACAUGCAAGUCGAACGCUUUUUCUUUCACCGGAGCUUGCUCCACCGAAAGAAAAAGAGUGGCGAACGGGUGAGUAACACGUGGGUAACCUGCCCAUCAGAAGGGGAUAACACUUGGAAACAGGUGCUAAUACCGUAUAACACUAUUUUCCGCAUGGAAGAAAGUUGAAAGGCGCUUUUGCGUCACUGAUGGAUGGACCCGGGGUGCAUUAGCUAGUUGGUGAGGUAACGGCUCACCAAGGCAACGAUGCAGAGCCGACCGGAGAGGGUGAUGUGCCACCCGGGGACUGGGACACGGCCCAGACGCCUACGGGAGGCAGCAGUAGGGAAUCUUCGGCAAUGGACGAAAGUCUGACCGAGCAACGCCGCGUGAGUGAAGAAGGUUUUCGGAUCGUAAAACUCUGUUGUUAGAGAAGAACAAGGAUGAGAGUAAAGUGUUCAUCCCUUGACGGUAUCUAACCAGAAAGCCACGGCUAACUACGUGCCAGCCGCCGCCGUAA